rnacentral:lncRNA from 1 species
UCACCCACCACCUUGCCAUCCCCACCACCUGCAUUAUGGUUGCACCACCACCAAUUGAAUGCCAUGCAUCUCACCACCAUUUGCAAUUGCAAAAAACAACCCCAAUUUGGAAUUCACAAACAACCACCCCAAAAAACCACCCCCACUAAUUAGAUUUGACGAAGAAGAAAAUAUCAAAAUCACCAAAAAAUCACAUAGCGGCAUUCUUCUCUAAAUCCACCACAAAAUCACGUGUACGCUACUAUGUGCGGUCGCGACGCACGACACUGUACACAGAGAGGUAGCAUAGUUGAUCGACUACACCCUUCAUGACAUUUAUCGAUCUUUAGCGCCGCAGAAAAAAGAAGGAUAUCGACACUUCGUGAUGGACAACAGAUCGGCAAGCGUGGCACCGACAGAGGAUCCUCUAUGCGCAGCAUCGGUUGCUGGAAUAGAGGGGAUAGGGGUGAAUGGGUAAAGAAUGAGAGAGAGGAGAAGGAGUUUGUAGAAUAAUUUAG